UACGAACUGUGCAAACGUUAUUCGGAUUCACUGGCUUAAAGGGUGCGUAGGCGGCCAUGUAAGUAGGGUGUGAAAUCCCCCGGCUUAACCGGGGGAACUGCGCCCUAAAACUGUGUGGCUGGAGUGAGAUAGGGGUGUGUGGAACUUCCGGUGGAGCGGUGAAAUGUGUUGAUAUCGGAAGGAACGCCGGUGGCGAAAGCGACACACUGGGUCUCAACUGACGCUGAAGCACGAAAGCCAGGGAGCGAACGGG
rnacentral:rRNA from 1 species